rnacentral:rRNA from 1 species
UACGGAGGGUGCAAGCGUUGUCCGGAUUUAUUGGGUUUAAAGGGUGCGUAGGCGGCCCUGUAAGUCAGUGGUGAAAGCCUCCAGCUCAACUAGAGAACUGCCAUUGAUACUGCAGGGCUUGAGUACAGGCGAGGUUGGCGGAAUUGAUUGUGUAGCGGUGAAAUGCAUAGAUACAAUCAAGAACUCCGAUUGCGUAGGCAGCUAACUAGGCUGUAACUGACGCUGAGGCACGAAAGCGUGGGGAGCGAACAGG